GAGACUAUGGUCUAGCGGUAUGACGUUGCCUUGACGUGGCAAAGGUCGCCAGUUCAAAUCUGGCUAGUCUCA
rnacentral:tRNA from 2 species